rnacentral:siRNA from 1 species
GAUAUGAUCAAAACAGAUGCUGCA